UCUUAUCAGCUAUAAUUUGAACAGUACUCUCCACUUGUGAUGAACUAGAGUCUAGAGUCACCUCCGAAGAAGCAACAGCAUCUUCUACUGUUUGAUCUACCAAGGAAGAGACACCAACUAAGCUGUCGGAACCGGUUUCUGAUUGAACAUCAGACAUGUUACCUUCCUGUUUUAGCUCUUCCUCUACUAAAGUAGUCUCUGCCUCUUUCUCUGCCUUCUCUCUUUCGUCUAGAAAGCUUGCUAUAUCCUCGUUCUUACGGAAAGCCAGCAGGAAAGGAUUUGUUGCCGCAUGGACCACUCCCUGGCCU
rnacentral:lncRNA from 1 species